CUGCAAGCCUUCAGCAUGCUGGGAUCUGAAGUGAACCUGUGCAUUCCUACAGUGCUUGCAAGAACAAUGAAAUGGUUUGAGGUCUUGCCCUGAUCCAUCCAGAGUAAGGUUAUAGAAAGUUCAGACAAAU